GACGAACGCUGGCGGCGUGCUUAACACAUGCAAGUCGAACGGAAAGGCCCUGCUUUUGUGGGGUGCUCGAGUGGCGAACGGGUGAGUAACACGUGAGUAACCUGCCCUUGACUUUGGGAUAACUUCAGGAAACUGGGGCUAAUACCGGAUAGGAGCUCCUGCUGCAUGGUGGGGGUUGGAAAGUUUCGGCGGUUGGGGAUGGACUCGCGGCUUAUCAGCUUGUUGGUGGGGUAGUGGCUUACCAAGGCUUUGACGGGUAGCCGGCCUGAGAGGGUGACCGGCCACAUUGGGACUGAGAUACGGGCCAGACUCCUACGGGAGGCAGCAGUGGGGAAUAUUGCACAAUGGGCGGAAGCCUGAUGCAGCAACGCCGGGUGCGGGAUGACGGCCUUCGGGUUGUAAACCGCUUUCGCCUGUGACGAAGCGUGAGUGACGGUAAUGGGUAAAGAAGCACCGGCUAACUACGUG
rnacentral:rRNA from 1 species